CUCAAAUUCUGUUUGAUCAGAAAUGCUGUAGCAUAAUAAAGGGAGCAGAUGAAUGACUGAAGCCCUACAGCUCCACUAAAGAUUAGAGUAAAAUCUGCACUUCAAAAGAUCCUGUAUUCUUGCAAGAGAACAGAGCUCCUGAUCACCUGUGUGCGUCCUUUGAGUGGAUGGCAGCUGCAUCUCUGCAUUACAGCUAGUUAGAAUGAUGAGUCCUUGCUAUGCCUCAAGCACUGUUUCGAGUGUUUGAUGUCUAUUAUCUCACUUCAUCCUCACCAGGACCCCAUCCGAGGAUUUGCGACUUGAGUAGCAUUGACGGUGGUGAUGGGGAGCCUGGCAAGACAGCAGAUGUCUACAGCAAGAGGAGGGAAUGGGAAGCUGCUCUGAUGGCGUAAUCAUCAAGGUUGCUGAUAAAAUGGCCUUAAUUUCAGUUGACAGUAACUAUUGGAUCCCCAGGAAUAUGUUUGCAUAUUUGGGGAGAAAAUACUAUUGGAGGGGAACAGAAAUGCUACUAAGGGUCUCACUGUGUCACCCAGGCUGGAGUCCAUCAAAGCUCACUGCAGCCUUAACCUUCUGUGCUCAAGGGAUCCUCCCACUUAAGCCUCCUGAGUAGCUGGAACUACAGGCAUAUGCCACCGAGCCUGGCUAAUCUUUGAUUUUUUUGUACAGAUUGUGUCUCCUUAUGUUGCUCAGGCUGGACUCAAACUUCUGGUCUCAAGCGAUCUUUCCAUCUUAGCUUCCCAAAUUGUUGGAAUUAUGGACAUGAGCCAGUGUGCUUGGCCUGAUUUUUUUUUUUUUUUAAUGAGAAAAACGUUCCUUAAGAAAAGUUUCAUUGUAAGACGAGGACUUGCUAUGUUGCCAGUUUGGUCUUGAACUCUUGGUCUCAAGUGAUUCUCCUGCCUUGGGUUCCCAAAGCGUUGGGACGGCAGAUGUCAGCCACCGCGCCUGGCCUUAUUCUUAUAAACUCAAAAUUAUCUGAAUUCAAGCAAGGUAAUGUAUUUCACAGCAUCACUGAAAUAUAAAGAUGUAUCAUCUCGGGAUAAGAACUAGGCUGAUGUCAGUUAUGCAUCCUGCUAUUAGCUCCCUUGUUAUUUAAUACCAUGGAAUAAAAAGGCAGCGUGAAAGUCUUUUUGCCACUAUUGCCUGGCUUUUAUUGCAGCUACUCUUGCAUCUAUAAUAGUGGAAGGGAAGAGCAAUACGGAUUGUAAAAUGAACUCCAUAGAAGAUCCACUGUGGUCAGUAGAUCAAGGCAUGACAGUAUUGACGUUAAGAAUGGACACUGGAGUCCAGUAUAUACGGAUUCAAAUCUGAAUGCUCAGUAGCUGUAUGACUUGGGCAGUUACUUAACCUAUUUGGGUUUGAGUUUUCUUGUCUUCAUCUGUAAAAGUAGGGCUGUUAGAGGUUUAAGUGAAUAUAUGUGCACAUAUGUAUAUAUAUUAAGAGAUAUACAUGAUAUAUAUAAAUAAAAUAUAUAUCUAUUCCCUUGAGAUAUAUAUAUGAAUAUGUGUAUUCCCCUGAGAUAUAUAUGAAUAUAUAUAUAUUCCCCUAAGAUAUAUACAUAUAUAUAUUUUCACAUAUUUCUUUACACACACACACAGACACACACCCCUUAGAAGAGUUCCUUGUAGGUGGUAAGUGCUAAUUAGAUAUUAACUAUCAUCACAUUGCCGUCUCAUUUCUGUAUUUGAAUUACUAAUUAGUAACACAAUUGAAUGAUCUGAUGGUUCCUUCUUUUCCCUGCUUUUUCCUUAAAGGAUCAAAGGUUGCAGCAAAAUGUCACAUUUAAGAAGCUGAGUAAACACAGAAUGAGAAGCCCUAAAGCGAGGUGCUGUGUUAAUAGACAGGCUAAUCACUUCCUGAAUACAUAAGAACUAGCUCUUUGUAGAACUAGCAGAGAGACUGCUAACAGGUUUUUGUUUUAGAUUGAUGGAUUGAUUUUCCAGGAACAGGCCUGAUGAGAGCCCUCAUAAAAAUUGCCUCUCAUAGCCUAUUGCAAAUAAGUAUAAUCUUACAUAAAUCAAAGCACUAGUACGUAAGCAUCCCAAGGACAGAGAUUUUGUCUGUGUUGGUUCACAGCUAUAUCCAGAGUUCAGGCAAGUGCCUGGCAAAUAGUGGAGGCUCAGUAAGUAUCUCUUGAGUGAACUGAAUGAAUGAAAACCUUGACUUUUCCUUUAAAUAGGAUUAACAUUAAAAGCAAAACAAAACAGCAUGCUUUCCUACUUCCUUGAUGGAUUUCUGACCCUAAGAAUGCUGUUAGGCAAGUAAGAAGGGCUGGAGAGCAGCAUGUGAAGGGCACAGUGCAAAUGUGUACAUUUAGCAAGUAUUUCAGAAAUCUCGGAUUUGGUGAAGUAUUUGCUGGAGUGUGUGGUGUGAUGUCACACUUAACUCAGAUACAUGUGUCACAUUUGAAUUACAAAUAUUCUGUCCAGCAUCUCCCUAACUUGAGUGACUAUGCUUAUACUUUUUUCUACACAGGGUUUUCAUAAAUCUUUGAUCCUUGACCAAGUGUCAUAGAGAACUUUUCUUAAGUGAAACUCUCUGCAAACAGUUAGCUUAUAUUUAAGUUUCUAUUCAGCUUUGAGUAUAGUAUUUUGGCUAAAAUAAUGUUUUGCAUGGUCCAUUUCACAGGUGAGGUUGAUUAUAUAGCAUUCAUUACUCUUAAUUUAGCUUACAACCUCAGAUAGUGGUUUAAAAUAUAUAACACUCAUAACUAUGUCUAAGUUAAUCAAAUUUAAAUUAUUUUCUACUCCUGUAGCAAACAUUUUUUGAAAACAGAAAAAAGUCCCUUUUUACAGCAUAGGCUCGCUGAUAAUUUGAAUAGAAAACCACUCAUUUCUAUACAUGAAAUUUUCCUGAUUGUCUUUGUAAUAAAAACUGAGAGGAUAUUCGUCAUCCCUGGCUGAGCUGCACUGAAUUCUACUCUUUUAUACAUGUAAUAAAACAGCAAACAACAUCAAAAUACAUUAUUAAUUAGGCAUGAAUUUCUUAAAAUGGUUUACAUCAUCUCAUUUAACUUCAGAGCUUGCAGACAUUAACAGUAAGUCACCACAAAGCUACCAUUGAUUUAUAAUGCACAUUACCACAUCAAGCCUGGCCCAAGGACUCUGGGCCCAGAAGGAAAAACAGCCAUGGCAGAAAUAUAAUGAAAACAUAUCUGUAUUCACAGAAAACAAUUAGGCUUAAUGUAAUUAGAGUGAACAUUCAGGUUCAUUUUAUUCAAAGGUAAUGUUUCU
rnacentral:lncRNA from 1 species